GGUGAGCUGGCCAGUUAAGUGAAUGCUUUGCCACAGUCUUAGAAAUUGAUUAAGCUGGGCUAAGGUUCACUUAGGCUGGACGCUAUAACCGCA
rnacentral:pre_miRNA from 10 species